CAUUGCAUCUACUAAGGAGAAAGUCCUGUGACUUUGAUUCAAUGAACCCUGGAUCCUUGAGGCCACCGGUUACACCUGCUCAAGAGUAGAAUGGACAGCCUAAGGGACUGGUUCCUAUCAGCUUGGUGAUGUGCUUCUUGCUGUAACUGGUUUUGAUGUAGACCCACUCCGAUUGCAGAUCUUAUGAUGUUUUAAAUCAAAAGCCUAUUCUUUAUUUCAAUAAAUGCUUAUAAAUGUG